UACGUAGGUGGCAAGCGUUGUCCGGAAUUAUUGGGCGUAAAGGGCUCGCAGGCGGUUUCUUAAGUCUGAUGUGAAAGCCCCCGGCUCAACCGGGGAGGGUCAUUGGAAACUGGGGAACUUGAGUGCAGAAGAGGAGAGUGGAAUUCCACGUGUAGCGGUGAAAUGCGUAGAGAUGUGGAGGAACACCAGUGGCGAAGGCGACUCUCUGGUCUGUAACUGACGCUGAGGAGCGAAAGCGUGGGGAGCGAACAGGAUUAGAUACCCUGGUAGUCCACGCCGUAAACGAUGAGUGCUAAGUGUUAGGGGGUUUCCGCCCCUUAGUGCUGCAGCUAACGCAUUAAGCACUCCGCCUGGGGAGUACGGUCGCAAGACUGAA
rnacentral:rRNA from 1 species